rnacentral:rRNA from 1 species
GACAGAGGUGCCAAGCGUUAGGCGGAAUCACUGGGCUUAAAGCGUGUGUAGGCGGAUUUGUAAGUACCUUGUGAAAUCCCACGGCUCAACCGUGGAACUGCUCGGUAUACUGCUUAUCUUGAGCCACUUAGGGGCUACCGGAACAAAUGGUGGAGCGGUGAAAUGCGUAGAUAUCGUUUGGAACGCCAAUGGUGAAAACAGGUUGCUGGGGGUGUGCUGACGCUGAGACACGAAAGCCAGGGGAGCAAACGGG